rnacentral:rRNA from 1 species
GACGAACGCUGGCGGCGUGCUUAACACAUGCAAGUCGAACGGAAAGGCCCUGCUUUUGUGGGGUGCUCGAGUGGCGAACGGGUGAGUAACACGUGAGUAACCUGCCCUUGACUUUGGGAUAACUUCAGGAAACUGGUGCUAAUACCGGAUAGGAGCUCCUGCUGCAUGGUGGGGGUUGGAAAGUUUCGUCGGUUGGGGAUGGACUCGCGGCUUAUCAGCUUGUUGGUGGGGUAGUGGCUUACCAAGGCUUUGACGGGUAGCCGGCCUGAGAGGGUGACCGGCCACAUUGGGACUGAGAUACGGCCCAGACUCCUACGGGAGGCAGCAGUGGGGAAUAUUGCACAAUGGGCGGAAGCCUGAUGCAGCAACGCCGCGUGAGGGAUGACGGCCUUAGGGUUGUAAACCGCUUUCGCAUGUGACGAAGCGUGAGUGACGGUAAUGGGUAAAGAAGCACAGGCUAACUACGUG